UGGGGAAUUUUGGACAAUGGGCGAAAGCCUGAUCCAACCAUGCCGCGUGAGUGAAGAAGGCCUUCGGGUUGUAAAGCUCUUUCAGACGGAAAGAAAACUUCUGGGCUAAUACCCUGGGAGGAUGACGGUACCGUAAGAAGAAGCACCGGCUAACUACGUGCCAACAACCGCGAUAAUACGUAGAAUGCGAGCGUUAAUCGGAAUUACUAAGCGUAAAGCGUGCGCAGGCGGUGAUGUAAGACAGAUGUGAAAUCCCCGGGCUCAACCUGGGAACUGCGUUUGUGACUGCAUCACUCGAGUACGGCAGAGGGAGGUGGAAUUCCGCGUGUAGCAGUGAAAUGCGUAGAGAUGCGGAGGAACACCGAUGGCGAAGGCAGCCUCCUGGGCCAGUACUGACGCUCAUGAACGAAAGCGUGGGGAGCAAACA
rnacentral:rRNA from 1 species